UUUCCGUAGGUGAACCUGCGGAAGGAUCAUUAAAAAAUGUGGUACCAUUAUUGGUACUAAUUAAUCAUCCUACCCUUUGUGAAUUUGUUUGUAACGAAUUUUUUUAAAUGGGUCUUUCCCUAAGUUGGAUUGUUAGUAAAAUACAAAAAGACUUAGGGGAAUGACUUUUUAAAAGACUUUUUUUUAAUUAAAACUUUUUGUAUUCAUUUGUCUAAAAUUUAUUUUUAUAAUAUAAAAACAACUUUUGACAAUGGAUCUCUUGGUUCUCGCAACGAUGAAGAACGCAGUAAAAUGCGAUAAGUAGUGUGAAUUGCAGAAUACGUGAAUCAUCGAAUCUUCGAACGCAUAUUGCACUUUUUUAGUUUACUAAAAAAGUAUGUCUGUUUGAGUAUCAGUAAAAUAUUCUCACAAAACAAUAUUGUUUUUGUGGUUAUGAGUGUUUUACAACGAUAAACAAGUUGUUUCACUUUAAAUUCUUUUUGUAAUUGAUUUAUACCAAUUUCAUAAAUUAAAAUUGGAUAAAAUUUUCCUUUAACGAGGAAUAACCUAAACAAUUUUAAAUUUUUGGAUUAUAAAAUCCAUCAAAGGAAUCUAUACAACAAAUAACUUGAUCUCAAAUCAGAUAAGAGUACCCGCUGAACUUAAGCAUAUCAAUAAGCGGAGGAAAAGAAACUAACAAGGAUUCCCUUAGUAACGGCGAGUGAAGCGGGAAGAGCUCAAAUUUGAAAUCUUCAAGGUUUGACCUUGACGAAUUGUAGUUUAUAGAAGUGUUUUCUGUUGGAGUUUUGGUAAAAGUUCUUUGGAAUAGGACAUCAUAGAGGGUGAGAAUCCCGUAUUUGACCAUGACUUUCCAGCUGUGUGAUACACUUUCAAAGAGUCGGAUUGUUUGGGAAUGCAGUCCAAAAUGGGUGGUAAAUUUCAUCUAAAGCUAAAUAUUGGCGAGAGACCGAUAGCGAACAAGUACCGUGAGGGAAAGAUGAAAAGAACUUUGAAAAGAGAGUUAAACAGAACGUGAGAUUGUCAAAAGGGAAGCGUUUGACACCAGUGUUGUUUUCUCGAAAAUCAAUUUAAUGAGUUCUUGUUUUUAAGUUAUUGUGACUUUAUCAGCGCAUUUCUUAUUUUACUUGACUCAUUGAAUGCACUUUUCGUUUAACAAGUCAACAUCAAUUUCUUUGGUGGUAAAAAGUUUAAAGGAAGGUGGCUUGGACUUCGGUUCAAGUGUUUAUAGCCUUUUUUCUAUGCCAUCGGAGAGAUUGAGGUCUGCAGCGUAGAUCCUUCGGGGUUAGAUACCUUUGUGCUAAGUUAUAGUCUUUUAUAGACAACUUGUUGACUAUAAUUAACCCUGUAAUUUACUCGCUUAGGCUAUUUUACCUACGCUUAGGAUGUUG
rnacentral:misc_RNA from 1 species